ACCCACCGCCGCCAACCUACCUACCGCUGCCAAUCUACCUACUGCUGCCAACCUAUCUAUCACUGCUAAUCUAUCGCUGCUAAUCUAUCGCUGCUAAUCUAUCGCUGCUAAUCUAUCGCCGCCAACCUACCUACCGCUGCCAAUCUACCCACCGCCGCCAACCUACCUACCGCUGCCAAUCUACCUACCGCUGCCAACCUAUCUAUCACUGCUAAUCUAUCGCUGCUAAUCUAUCGCUGCUAAUCUAUCGCUGCCAACCUACCUACCGCUGCCAACCUACCUACCGCUGCCAACCUAUCUAUCACUGCUAAUCUAUCGCUGCUAAUCUAUCGCUGCUAAUCUAUCGCUGCUAAUCUAUCGCUGCUAAUCUAUUGCUGCUAAUCUAUCGCCGCCAACCUACCUACCACUGCCAACCUAUCUACUGCUGCCAACCUAUCUAUCGCUGCCAAUCUAUAUAGGGUAAAUCAUAGUCCCAUUUGGUCCCAUUUUGUAAAAUGGGAUCAAAUGGGACCAGAAUCACUAAUUUAUUAGUAAAACAUGAUCUGGAACUAGAUUUAUAAUAUAAACAGUGUAAAAUGACUAAUUUGCUAAAUACUAUAUGGGACCAGAACUAAGAUAUCUAAUAAUGAAACUGAGGAAAAAUUUGAUUUCAGUCCCAUGCAUGGUCACAUGGCCAGUCUAGUAGAUUCUAUUGAUUAUAAAUAUAAUCUCAGAUCUAUAAACUGAAACUGCUGUUGAUAAAACUAUAUAUUUAAUCAGACAGUCUACUUUUUUAUUAUUCUCUAUUUUUAUAUACUCUGAGAAUUAUUUCAGAUUUAUAUUAUACUGUCUGAGAAGUUUAUAACAGUAAUUGAAGACUCAAUAUGAAAAUACUACUGUAUUAUUUUAUAUAUUUCAGAUAAUUGAAAUAUUAUUAAGAUAG
rnacentral:sRNA from 2 species